rnacentral:misc_RNA from 1 species
AAGUUCGAUUGGUGCACUGCACAUGGCUCAUCAUGGCGUAAACUUAAGAUAUCAGAAUUAAAUGUUAUCGUCGGAAAGUAAUCAUUUUAUGCUGGUUAAUAUUAAAGAGAAAAGAUAGAAAUAAAGAAUUUAUUUAUAACGCUUAAAUUUAUUAAACGAAACAAUUGGAGAAAGUAGAUUGAAUCAAACCAAUGUAGACAGUUAAAGUUUGAGAUGUGAUUGUUUCGCCAUGGUUGACAGCGGAGGUGUGACGAUUUAAAGGGCCAUCUUUCAAAUUCAUUUUUUUUAUAAAUUGGUAUUAAACUGUAUUGUUAAUAGAGUGCUCUUGUUCGUGCCUUUUACAGUCUUAGUAAAAUUUUAAUUCGGAUUACUUUCAUCUUCCUACGUCACUUUGUUCAAUUUUUUAGGAAUAACAAUUCUACGUAGAUCCAAAAAGGUUAUACAAGCAUUUGUUAUUAUUAGUCUUCGGUACAAUUGAAUCGUCAAGUAUUAUUAAUGCAAAGUAAUGUGCUGAAAUCACGUAUCAAAUAUUAGAAUAGAAAUGCCGUUGAGUCCAGUGAAUCAUAAUAUAUCUAUGGAUGCUACAGAAAGUGCUGGUACAUCUGUUCAUGUAACCACUACUUCCUGUACUCCACCUCCAUCAUAUAACAUUAAUUUACCUCUUGAACAUCCUUGUACGUUACCCAACGAAUGUGGUGCACCACCUUCUUAUCAGGAAGCCAUAAAUAACUAUGCGCCUCCUCCUCCUUCGUAUGAUUCUUUGUUUGGUCGAAUAAGAGAGGUGCAAAAAGUCUCCAAGGGUGUAUUUGAUUUCAUAAAAAAUAUUAUUAUUCUACUUGUCUGUACAAUCGGAUUCACUAUUAUAUUCGUUAUGACAAUUGUAGUUCCAAUAUGCAUGAUUAUCAUUGGAGGAAUGUAUCUAUAUAAGUGUCCACAGGGUGAAUACAUACCUGUUUAUUUAUUAGUAGGUGGAAUAAUCGGCGUAUUUAAACAAAUAUUACAUUUAUCUGCAUAUGUGAGACGACGAGAAGAAAGAGAUGAAGAAAGGAUUAGGCAAUCAACAACGCAAACAGUAAUUAAUUGCUUCAUGCUGGCCUGGCUUAUAAUUGGUACUACGUGGGUGUACCAGGCAUACGAACCAAAUUAUGACUCAUCCAAGACGAUAUAUUGCAACAAAACUUUAUAUUUAUUUGCCUUUUGGUUGAUAAACUCUAUUUAUAUAUGUUUUGGUAUUUAUAUAGCAGGUUAUUGCAGUUUUUCAGUAGCUAGUAUUGCGUUUCAAAGGCCACUACCUAAUUUCAUGUAAAAGACAAUUUGAAUCAUUUGAAAUUAGAAAAAAGAACCAUUGUUAAAUAUUUCGGCAUUUUGGGAGCAAAAAAUGAGAAUGUAUGCAAAAAGGCAUUCAUUGGCAGGAGUCACUCGAUAUUGGGGCACAAAAAAUUCGUCCACGUUUAUGUACCUGAGAUACUUAAACGACAAUUUAUGCACAGAUUAUUUGCGUGUUAGAAAUACCACUAAAUACUUAUACGUCUCAUACUUAUGAAUUGAAGUGGCUGAAUGGCUUAUGUGAGAAAAGAAAAGGAAAAAGAAAAAAAGAAAGAAGAUGCUUUAAUCACUUUAGGCUGUGGAUAUUUCGUGAUAAACACGGAUCUUAAUCUUGUGCCAAGAGAAAGCAAGGUCUUAGGAGAAAACUAUUUUGUUACUGCAGUAUUGAAUACAAGAAAAAAUGUCGAAUGCAAUUCGUAUUUGUGUACGUAAAAUUGAUAUCUACGGCCUGGCGUUACGUCGCAUAUAUGGUUCGACUUUAAAAAUUCGAUCUCUUAUGUUUCGAAUACAUUUUUUUAAUUAGCAUUAAAAAUACCUUAUCAAUAACACUAUUAUAAUAUUUUUAACAACAAAUGAAAGCUGUUCUUAAACGAUCAUAAGAUAAAUUAUCAAAGAUCAUCUUCACUUAGUUAGAUGUGAAAAGAGGAUUUAUUACUUAUGGUAAAAAAGACUGCGAUAUUUUGCGUUAACUUUAUAUUAUUUUUCCCUCUCCUUCAUCCUUUUAAGCCUUUAGCAACCUCCAUUGGGCCUUCGUUGUUAUUAAUGCGGUAAGAUCUAAUCUUAUACCGCUAUCUUUAUUGUAUAAUCUCUAUAUCCUGCGCUUGAAGAUCUCAAAUUUUUUAAAAUAUUUUAUUGUGAUAUUAAAAUACCUUUUUUUUCGAUAUUUCGAGUUAUGCGACAUAAUCAUUAUAAAGGCUGUAGUUAUUCAAAACCAUACUAUUUUGAAAAUAAGUACAGUACAUCCAAUUGGUAUAAAUAUUUAGGUAUAUAGUGGAGGAACAUUAAUUUAAGAAUAAUGUAUUAUAGGCAUAAUAUAUGUUGUAACAUCUUUUCCACUUUCAUACAUUUUUAGCUACUUUGUCUUCCUAUUGAGUAAGUUAUCAAAUUAACUUUUCUACAAAUGUGUGUGUGUCUGUAAUAAUCUCAUUACUAUAUCGAUUGACUAACACGCGCUUGCAUUAUGCUGCAUCUAUAAACGUUGAGCAAGCUUGUGCUUUUCAAUAUAAAAUCAAGUAUAUUGUCGGCAUAAAAAACUUAAUGUUGGAAAAAGCUGAAUAUUAGAUUUGUAUAUAUAUAUAAAAUGUGAUUCUAACGCACGUUUAUUACGAAUGAGUAUAUUACUCGCAUUGCAUUUAUUGUUAAUUAAAUAAUACUACACAAUUAAUUAUCCUGGCAAAACACAUAUUUAAUGUAAAAGCAGUGUGUAUCUGUAAACAAAUGAUUUCCCUAUUAUAUCAUGUGCAUUAUUGUAUGCACUUACGCACAUUUCUUAUUAUAAUUUUCUAAAUAAACGGCUUACAAUUAA